GCAAUUGCUGAUGCCCAGCCACAGGCACCAGCUAUGCCUCCGCAGAUGGCCCCACAUCCUGCCAUGCAGCAAGGGGGUUAUUAUAUGCAGCACCCUCAGGCAGCUAUAAUGGCCCAGCAAUCAGGACUUUUCCCUCCAAAAGUUCCAUUGCAGUUCGGCAAUCCCCAUCAAUUACAAGAUCCACAGCAGCAACUACACCAACAACACCAGCAAGCAAUGCAAGGGCAAAUGGGACUAAGACCUAUUGGUGGGGCUAACAAUGGCAUGCAUCACCCACAUCAUACUGAGAGUACCCUUGGGGGUGGUGUUAGUGCUGGAGGCCCUCCUCGAAGUUCAGUGCAAACUGAUGGUCGUGGAGGUGGGAAACAGGACUCAGGUGAUGUGGGAGGUGCAGGUGCUGAUGGUCAGGGGAGCUCGGCUGGUGGUCGUGGCGGUGGUGGUGAUGGUGAGGAAGCUAAGUAGCAUAGCCUUAUGGCUGGUUCCACAUCCCAUGUGUGGUUGUUAAUAGUAGGUGCUUCGUACGAUAGAGCUUCCAUGCUGUGGUGAUAUUAGUAGAGUGAGGGUAAAGAAACCAAAGUUCUCAAUUGUUUUAGUUUAAGCAGAAUAUGUAGGUAAGUUGUGUAUGUGUUGUAAGAGUCUUUGUAUGCAGUUAAAUUCCAUGCUUGGCAAUAGAAGGCAGACAUAGCUUGCCAGAGAGGUAGUACUUUGACUUUUAUCUCAUUUUGUAAACAGCUUGCGAAAGAUCAGUAGGAUUAGUUAUAAUAUAAUUCUACUGAAGGGUUUCUAGCCGUUGGUUCUAUACUGACGUCAAACUUUUGAAAGCAAAGGAAAGUU
rnacentral:misc_RNA from 1 species